CGGUAAUUCCAGCUCCAAUAGCGUAUACUAAUGUUGUUGCAGUUAAAAAGCUCGUAGUCGGAUUUCAGUUUGAUUUAGGAUCUUUUAUUCGAAGGUCCUUGAUCAUUCUUCCUUGACAUAAACAGCCAUGUCCUUCAUUGGAUGUAGUUUGGGAGUGUCUCUUUUACUUUGAGAAAAUUAGAGUGUUCAAAGCAGGUAAUCGCCUGAAUAUUACUCUUGGAAUAAUACUAUAGGACUUUGGUUCUGCAUUGUUGGUGUUCAGAGCCAGAGUAAUGAUUGAUAGGGACGGUUGGGGUCAUUAGUACUGCGAAGCGAGAGGUGAAAUUCUUGGACCUUUGUAUGACUAACAACUGCGAAAGCAUUUGACUAGGACGUUCCCGUUGAUCAAGAACGAAAGUUGGGGGAUCGAAGACGAUCAGAUACCGUCGUAGUCUCAACCAUAAACUAUGCCAGCUAGGGAUUGGAGGAAGUUAAACUUGACUCCUUCAGCACCUUAUGAGAAAUCAAAGCAUUUGGGUUCCGGGGGGAGUAUGGUCGCAAGUCUGAAACUUAAAGAAAUUGACGGGAGGGCACCACCAGGAGUGGAGCCUGUGGCUUAAUUUGACUCAACACGGGAAAACUUACCAGGUCCGGACAUAGUAAGGAUUGACAGAUUGAAAGCUCUUUCUUGAUUCUAUGGGUGGUGGUGCAUGGCCGUUCUUAGUGGGUGGAGUGAUUUGUCAGGUUAAUUCCGUUAACGAACGAGACCUCAGCCUGCUAAAUAGUUAUACCUACUUCUGUAGUUCGUAACUUAUGAGAGGGACUACUUGCGAAACAACCGAGCGGAAGCUCGAGGCCAUAUCAGGUCUGUCAUGCCCUUAGAUGUUCUGCGCCGCACACGCGCUACACCGGUGCACUCAACCAGUACAAUAAGUUGAAUCGAAAGGUUAGUCUAAUCUUUGAAACCGCACCGGGCUUGGGAUAGACCAUUGCAAUUUUUAGUCUUCAGGCGAGGAAUUCAUAGUACAACUCAAGUCAUCACCUUGCAUUGAUUACGUCCCUGCCCACAGUACACACCACCCAAGGGUGAAUCCCGCACACGGGCGGCCG
rnacentral:rRNA from 1 species